GACGAACGCUGGCGGCGUGCUUAACACAUGCAAGUCGAACGGAAACGCCCUGCUUUUGUGGGGACCUCUAGUGGCGAACGGGUGAGUAACACGUGAGUACCCUGUCCCUGACUUUGGGAUAACUUCAUAAAACUGGGGCUCAUACCGCCUAGGAGUUCCUGCUGCAUGGUGGGGGUUGGAUAGUUUCGGCGGUUGGUGAUGUACUCGCGGCUUAUCAGCUUGUUGGUUGGGUAGUGGCUUAGCAAGGCUUUGACGCGUAGCCGGGCUGAGAGGCGGACCGGACACGUUAGGAUGGAGAUGCGGCACAGACUCCUACGGGACGCAGGAGAGGAGAAUAGUGCAUAAGGGGCGGAAGGCUGAUGCAGCAAAGCCGCGUGCGGGAUGAGGGCAAGCGGGUUGGAAUGCGAUGUCGCCUGUGACGAAGCGUGAGUGACGGUAAUGGGUGAAGAAGCACCGGCUAACUACGUG
rnacentral:rRNA from 1 species